GGAGAGUAGCUCAGCCUGGUAGAGCACUGCUUUCGGGAGGCAGGGGCCGGAGGUUCGAAUCCUCUCUCUCC
rnacentral:tRNA from 1 species